rfam:Schistosoma mansoni strain Puerto Rico chromosome 1, complete genome
AUCCGUCUUACGAGUCCCAAAUAGGACGAAACGCGCGUUCUGGAU